UUGACUCCCCUUUUUAUUUUGAAUAAAUGCUGCAGUUUAAGGAAGUCCCCUACAUGUUCCGAUAAUUAGUUGAAUAUUGUAAUUUGUAAAGUACUUGGAAGUUAAUAAUUUAUAAAUUCCGAAUUUCAUAACAUAAAGAUUGUUGGAAAUAAAAUUUGUCAAAUUGGAUCGAAAUAAGUCGAUGGUUUUUCCAGGGGUACACGAGUCAACGUGCUUUUUUUAUUUUUUCAGCGUUAUUCGACAAAAUCAGAAGAUAGGAUGGUAGAACUCUGACCGUCUCUUUCUACCGAGUUGACGCAGCGAGAAACGUGAGAAAGCAGAAUUUCUUGAGAGAGAUCUCAAUUCAAGCAUAGCAUCAUUAAUAAAAUUUUGUGAUUCUUCACAAAUUUCAUCGAGACCAGCCUGUGAGACUACCCUUUUA